rnacentral:rRNA from 1 species
GUCCCUACGGGGGGCAGCAGUGGGGAAUAUUGCACAAUGGGGGGAACCCUGAUGCAGCGACGCCGCGUGGGUGAGGAAGUACUUCGGUAUGUAAAGCCCUAUCAGCAGGGAAGAAAAUGACGGUACCUGACUAAGAAGCCCCGGCUAACUACGUGCCAGCAGCCGCGGUAAUACGUAGGGGGCAAGCGUUAUCCGGAUUUACUGGGUGUAAAGGGAGCGUAGACGGCGUGCCAAGUCUGAUGUGAAAGGCCGGGGCCCAACCCCGGGACUGCUUUGGAAACUGCCAUGCUAGAGUGCUGGAGAGG